rnacentral:rRNA from 1 species
ACGAGUGGCGGACGGGUGGGUAAUGUCUGGGAAACUGCCCGGUGGAGGGGGAUAACUACUGGAAACGGUAGCUAAUACCGCAUAACGUCGCAAGACCAAAGAGGGGGACCUUCGGGCCUCUUGCCACCGGAUGUGCCCAGAUGGGAUUAGCUUGUUGGUGAGGUAACGGCUCACCAAGGCGACGAUCCCUAGCUGGUCUGAGAGGAUGACCAGCCACACUGGAACUGAGACACGGUCCAGACUCCUACGGAAGGCAGCAG